rnacentral:rRNA from 1 species
GACGAACGCUGGCGGCGUGCUUAACACAUGCAAGUCGAACGGAAAGGCCCUGCUUUUGUGGGGUGCUCGAGUGGCGAACGGGUGAGUAACACGUGAGUAACCUGCCCUUGACUUUGGGAUAACUUCAGGAAACUGGGGCUAAUACCGGAUAGGAGCUCCUGCUGCAUGGUGGGGGUUGGAAAGUUUCGGCGGUUGGGGAUGGACUCGCGGCUUAUCAGCUUGUUGGUGGGGUAGUGGCUUACCAAGGCUUUGACGGGUAGCCGGCCUGAGAGGGUGACCGGCCACAUUGGGACUGAGAUACGGCCCAGACUCCUACGGGAGGCAGCAGUGGGGAAUAUUGCACAAUGGGCGGAAGCCUGAUGCAGCAACGCCGCGUGCGGGAUGACGGCCUUCGGGUUGUAAACCGCUUUCGCCUGUGACGAAGCGUGAGUGACGGUAAUGGGUAAAGAAGCACCGGCUAACUACGUGCCAGCAGCCGCGGUGAUACGUAGGGUGCGAGCGUUGUCCGGAUUUAUUGGGCGUAAAGGGCUCGUAGGUGGUUGAUCGCGUCGGAAGUGUAAUCUUGGGGCUUAACCCUGAGCGUGCUUUCGAUACGGGUUGACUUGAGGAAGGUAGGGGAGAAUGGAAUUCCUGGUGGAGCGGUGGAAUGCGCAGAUAUCAGGAGGAACACCAGUGGCGAAGGCGGUUCUCUGGGCCUUUCCUGACGCUGAGGAGCGAAAGCGUGGGGAGCGAACAGGCUUAGAUACCCUGGUAGUCCACGCUGUAAACGGUGGGUACUAGGUGUGGGGUCCAUUCCACGGGUUCCGUGCCGUAGCUAACGCUUUAAGUACCCCGCCUGGGGAGUACGGCUGCAAGGCUAAAACUCAAAGGAAUUGACGGGGCCCCGCACAAGCGGCGGAGCAUGCGGAUUAAUUCGAUGCAACGCGUAGAACCUUACCUGGGUUUGACAUGGAUCGGGAGUGCUCAGAGAUGGGUGUGCCUCUUUUGGGGUCGGUUCACAGGUGGUGCAUGGCUGUCGUCAGCUCGUGUCGUGAGAUGUUGGGUUAAGUCCCGCAACGAGCGCAACCCUUGUUCACUGUUGCCAGCACGUUAUGGUGGGGACUCAGUGGAGACCGCCGGGGUCAACUCGGAGGAAGGUGGGGAUGACGUCAAGUCAUCAUGCCCCUUAUGUCCAGGGCUUCACGCAUGCUACAAUGGCUGGUACAGAGAGUGGCGAGCCUGUGAGGGUGAGCGAAUCUCGGAAAGCCGGUCUCAGUUCGGAUUGGGGUCUGCAACUCGACCUCAUGAAGUCGGAGUCGCUAGUAAUCGCAGAUCAGCAACGCUGCGGUGAAUACGUUCCCGGG